AUUGAACGCUGGCGGCAUGCCUUACACAUGCAAGUCGAACGGCAGCACGGAGCUUGCUCUGGUGGCGAGUGGCGAACGGGUGAGUAAUAUAUCGGAACGUACCCUAGAGUGGGGGAUAACGUAGCGAAAGUUACGCUAAUACCGCAUACGAUCUAAGGAUGAAAGUGGGGGAUCGCAAGACCUCAUGCUCGUGGAGCGGCCGAUAUCUGAUUAGCUAGUUGGUAGGGUAAAAGCCUACCAAGGCAUCGAUCAGUAGCUGGUCUGAGAGGACGACCAGCCACACUGGAACUGAGACACGGUCCAGACUCCUACGGGAGGCAGCAGUGGGGAAUUUUGGACAAUGGGCGAAAGCCUGAUCCAGCAAUGCCGCGUGAGUGAAGAAGGCCUUCGGGUUGUAAAGCUCUUUUGUCAGGGAAGAAACGGUGAAAGCUAAUAUCUUUUGCUAAUGACGGUACCUGAAGAAUAAGCACCGGCUAACUACGUGCCAGCAGCCGCGGUAAUACGUAGGGUGCAAGCGUUAAUCGGAAUUACUGGGCGUAAAGCGUGCGCAGGCGGUUUUGUAAGUCUGAUGUGAAAUCCCCGGGCUCAACCUGGGAAUUGCAUUGGAGACUGCAAGGCUAGAAUCUGGCAGAGGGGGGUAGAAUUCCACGUGUAGCAGUGAAAUGCGUAGAUAUGUGGAGGAACACCGAUGGCGAAGGCAGCCCCCUGGGUCAAGAUUGACGCUCAUGCACGAAAGCGUGGGAGCAAACAGGAUUAGAUACCCUGGUAGUCCACGCCCUAAACGAUGUCUACUAGUUGUCGGGUCUUAAUUCGCUUGGUAACGCAGCUAACGCGUGAAGUAGACCGCCUGGGGAGUACGGUCGCAAGAUUAAAACUCAAAGGAAUUGACGGGGACCCGCACAAGCGGUGGAUGAUGUGGAUUAAUUCGAUGCAACGCGAAAAACCUUACCUACCCUUGACAUGGCUGGAAUCCUUGAGAGAUCAGGGAGUGCUCGAAAGAGAACCAGUACACAGGUGCUGCAUGGCUGUCGUCAGCUCGUGUCGUGAGAUGUUGGGUUAAGUCCCGCAACGAGCGCAACCCUUGUCAUUAGUUGCUACGAAAGGGCACUCUAAUGAGACUGCCGGUGACAAACCGGAGGAAGGUGGGGAUGACGUCAAGUCCUCAUGGCCCUUAUGGGUAGGGCUUCACACGUCAUACAAUGGUACAUACAGAGCGCCGCCAACCCGCGAGGGGGAGCUAAUCGCAGAAAGUGUAUCGUAGUCCGGAUUGUAGUCUGCAACUCGACUGCAUGAAGUUGGAAUCGCUAGUAAUCGCGGAUCAGCAUGUCGCGGUGAAUACGUUCCCGGGUCU
rnacentral:rRNA from 1 species